rnacentral:rRNA from 1 species
AGUGAACGCUGGCGGUAGGCCUAACACAUGCAAGUCGAACGGCAGCACAGUAAGAGCUUGCUCUUACGGGUGGCGAGUGGCGGAAGGGUGAGGAAUACAUCGGAAUCUACUGUUUCGCGGGGGAUAACGUAGGGAAACUUACGCUAAUACCGCAUACGACCUACGGGUGAAAGCAGGGGAUCUUCGGACCUUGCGCGAUUGAAUGAGCCGAUGUCGGAUUAGCUAGUUGGCGGGGUAAAGGCCCACCAAGGCGACGAUCCGUAGCUGGUCUGAGAGGAAGAUCCGCCACACUGGAACAGAGACACGUUCCAGACUCCUGCGGUAGGCAGCAGUGGGGAAUAUUAGACGAUGGGCGCAAGCCUGAUCCAGCCAUACCGCGUGGGUGAAGAAGGCCUUCUGGUUGUAAAGCCCUUUUGUUGGUAAAGAAAAGCAGCAGGUUAAUACCCCGCUGUUCUGACGGUACCCAAAGAAUAAGCACCGGCUAACUUCGUG